AACGAACGCUGGCGGCAUGCCUAACACAUGCAAGUCGAACGAAGCCUUCGGGCUUAGUGGCGCACGGGUGCGUAACGCGGGGGAAUCUGCCCCUUGCUUCGGAAUAACAGUUAGAAAUGACUGCUAAUACCGGAUGAAGUCUUCGGACCAAAGAUUUAUCGGCAAGGGAUGAGCCCGCGUAGGAUUAGGUAGUUGGUGGGGUAAAGGCCUACCAAGCCGACGAUCCUUAGCUGGUCUGAGAGGAUGAUCAGCCACACUGGGACUGAGACACGGCCCAGACUCCUACGGGAGGCAGCAGUGGGGAAUAUUGGACAAUGGACGCAAGUCUGAUCCAGCAAUGCCGCGUGAGUGAUGAAGGCCUUAGGGUUGUAAAGCUCUUUUACCAGGGAUGAUAAUGACAGUACCUGGAGAAUAAGCUCCGGCUAACUCCGUG
rnacentral:rRNA from 1 species